UAGAGGGCCUCUGCAGGGAUUUUACAUGGUGAGUACAUGAUGGAAGGCGGUGGAGCUUCCCUUCAAGAGUCCAGGGAGACAGAGCAGCAGGAGAAUCCAAAAGAUGAAAUGAGUUUCUGAUCACCUGGGGCAAGGUUAGCAAGAGCAGCAUUGCUGUCCCAGGUAGAAUAAUGAAGCUAUCAAUAACAAUUAGAUCAGGGUUAAUAAGUGGAAGAUAAUGAGAGGAAAUGCAAGGUCAUUUUUGAAGCGGACAGUGAACACCUUGCUUCAGAAGGACAUGGCUUGCUCUACAGGAUGAACACACAAUAAUAAAAUGUUUACUUUCUCUUUGAA